UAGAGCAGUUAGCCUUUUUGGAUUCACAUCUACCACAAAGAGCAGGCAUAUUCCAAUCACUUCAGCAUUUCAUUUUAUUUAUGGUUUCCGUUCAACUUUUUCUUCUUCUGCAAAAAGAUCAUAUCUUUGGGAUCUUGGCUUGAUUAGCGAUCUUUUCUAUCUUUUCUUUAGUUUAGUCUUAAGAUCCGUUUCAGAAAGGUGAAAAUAAACUGAGAUUGUUAGAAGUUCGUCAAUAUGUCUGCUUGUUGGAGGGAAAUUUCGUCUUCACAAUGUUAUUGUGCUAUGCAAAAUUCCUGUGGUAUCCCUGUACCGGUGGAUUUGAGCUAUUUAGAGAAAGGCAACACAGAUCAAUCAAGCUAUUAUUAUUGAAGUCGGACAUUCUAGGCAAGCUUGUUUUGAUUUUGAAUGCAGUACAUUGGAAUCCUGAAGCACCACCACGAACGUUAUCGGGCGUCCGCCUGCGACACAUGUCUUCCUUUAUGAUGAAUUAGUUCACAACAGGCUCAGCUCGAUCUACUUUUUGACGAACUUAUAUG